AUUCUGCAGUCUGCUAUAACGCUCAGGACCCAUCAGUUCUACAAAGUCCUCCGUGGAACAAAGGAGUAAUUACAACUAUCACAGGAACGCCAAAAACCUGAUAAGAAUACUGUAUAAUGUUUUCUGAUCAAUAUGACACCACAAACAUUUCAAAUAUUAGAACUACAUAUUCUGCCAAUUAAAAAAAACUGGUCUACGUUUUCUAAGCGGGAGUUGUUUGUCGAAGUUCUUUCCUGUGAAAAACUGAAAGUAAAUUCGACAACUUUUUUCUUUCUGUGGCUUCACCAAGGUUUUUCGACUUGCAAGACAGCAGCAGAAAUGAUUGAUAUGGGACUAGACCAGUCCUCUUCAGGAUUGUGAGGUCUCCUCUCUGAGAGUUAGAAUGAGUUAUCAUCAGGGGCUGAGGGUGGAGCCAUCCAUAAAGAAAGACAGAAGGAUGGGUCACCUAACAAGAUUCUUGAUGAGACCAUGGACCCUGAUAUGAGUGUCCAUGUGCAAAAAAUAGACUUUCCUACACCCAGCUGUGAGUCCACUAGAACACUCGAGAGUGAAGGAGAACUAAGGGUCCAUCUGGAGAGACCAGUGUCACCAACCCCCAGUGAUCUAUCAAUGAAAAGUGACAAAUCAAUGCGUAACCCUCCUGUAUUCAAGGAGGAAGACUUGACUCAGAAAGAGGGGAACAAUUUGAAGCAUCUCCAGCUACGUGCAGCUAGUCAUUGUGACCAGUCAGUGAAUUCAAGCAAAUACCCAAGUGAUGAUGGAGACCAAACCAGGGAUGGAAGCAUCAUCAGGCCAGAAGAGAUGGUCUGUGAGGUCAAAGCUGUGAAGUUCUGUCUGACCUGCACUCAGUCCUACUGUGGGACCCACGUUAAGAAGCACUACACAGUACCUAAACUACAGAGACACACCCUGGUGGAGGUGACUGGAGACCUGGAGGAGAGACUCUGUCAGGAACACCACAGAGCUCUGGAGGUGUUCUGCAGGACAGACCAGAAGCUGAUCUGCAGUCUGUGUGUAGUAACAGAACAUGAAGGACAUGAUAUAGUCUAUGAUGAGAUAAAACAAGCUGGAAGACAGUGCUCCCCCUUCCUGGUGAGAUCCAGUUCUGGUCAGUGACGUCAGACUCUGUGUCUCUGAGCUGGGGUUUUCCUGAGGGACUGACAGGAGCACAGAAGUUCAGAGUGACCUGGGGAUGUGACGGGGAACAGGGGAGCCUGAGGGUGGAAGAUGGGUAUAAUGUUGAAAUAGAUGGACUCCAGCCUGGUAAAAAGUACCAGUUCAGUGUGGCUACAGAGGGAGAAGAUGGCAGACAAAGAAGAUGGGUCUCAGCAUCUGUAUUAACUGUGGUCCCAGCACCCAGGGACUUACAAAUAAACCAGUCAGGGAGCGACCUCCUUCACUUUCAGUUGGUCCAAGGCUGAAGAAUUGGAGAAAGUCCCACAACGCUUUCUCAUAUCCUACUGCAACCCGGGAUCAGAGACCCGCUCAGCCAAUACUGAGGACUCCUACAGAACUCUCUCUGGCCUGCUACCUGGUACUCAGUACACCAUCAGUGUCUCAACUGUGUUGAACAAUGGGAAACAGAGCAAACCUCUCUCUACAACCGUCUGUACAAUUAUCCCUGUCCCGGUAGGGCUGAAUGUGGACCCAGUGGAGACCACAUCAGCUGUUGUUAGCUGGAACCAGCCACCAGGAUUGGACCAAACCCAACAUCAUUACCAGAUCUCCUACCGCUGUCCAGGGACAGAACCACACAUCACUACCACAUCUUCACACAGCAUCACUCUCUCUGACCUGCAUUGUGGUACUCAGUACUCUGUUACUGUCUGCACUGUGCUGGAAAAUGGAAAGCAAAGUCAACUGUCAACAACAACUCUGACCACAAUACUUCCUGCUCCAGACCAGCUGACUGUUGACUCAGUGGACACCACAUCAGCUGCUGUUAGCUGGAGCCAGCCACCAGAAUUGGAUCAAACCCAACAUCAUUACCAGAUCUCCUACCGCUGUCCAGGGACAGAACCACACAUCA